UCUUAGAUGACUGAGCUAAAUAAGUGCUAGAUUUUUAAUCUAGAGACGGUAUAUUACUACCUCUAAGAG
rnacentral:tRNA from 1 species